rnacentral:rRNA from 1 species
GAUGAACGCUGGCGGCGUGCUUAACACAUGCAAGUCGAACGGUGAAGCAGGAGCUUGCUCCUGUGGAUCAGUGGCGAACGGGUGAGUAACACGUGAGCAACCUGCCCCUGACUCUGGGAUAAGCGCUGGAAACGACGUCUAAUACUGGAUAUGUGAUGUGACCGCAUGGUCUGCAUCUGGAAAGAAUUUCGGUUGGGGAUGGGCUCGCGGCCUAUCAGCUUGUUGGUGAGGUAAUGGCUCACCAAGGCGUCGACGGUUAGCCGGCCUGAGAGGGUGACCGGCCACACUGGAACUGAGACACGGCCCAGACUCCUACGGGAGGCAGCAGUGGGGAAUAUUGCACAAUGGGCGGAAGCCUGAUGCAGCAACGCCGCGUGAGGGAUGACGGCCUUCGGGUUGUAAACCUCUUUUAGCAGGGAAGAAGCGAAAGUGACGGUACCUGCAGAAAAAGCACCGGCUAACUACGUGCCAGCCGCCGCCGUAA